rnacentral:rRNA from 1 species
GGAUCCAGACUUUGAUUCUGGCUCAGGAUGAACGCUAGCUACAGGCUUAACACAUGCAAGUCGAGGGGAAACGACAUCGAAAGCUUGCUUUUGAUGGGCGUCGACCGGCGCACGGGUGAGUAACGCGUAUCCAACCUGCCCACCACUUGGGGAUAACCUUGCGAAAGUAAGACUAAUACCCAAUGACGUCUCUAGAGGACAUCUGAAAGAGAUUAAAGAUUUAUCGGUGAUGGAUGGGGAUGCGUCUGAUUAGCUUGUUGGCGGGGUAACGGCCCACCAAGGCGACGAUCAGUAGGGGUUCUGAGAGGAAGGUCCCCCACAUUGGAACUGAGACACGGUCCAAACUCCCACGGGAGGCAGCAGUGAGGAAUAUUGGUCAAUGGACGAGAGUCUGAACCAGCCAAGUAGCGUGCAGGAUGACGGCCCUAUGGGUUGUAAACUGCUUUUAUAAGGGAAUAAAGUGAGUCUCGUGAGACUUUUUGCAUGUACCUUAUGAAUAAGGACCGGCUAAUUCCGUGCCAGCAGCCGCGGUAAUACGGAAGGUCCGGGCGUUAUCCGGAUUUAUUGGGUUUAAAGGGAGCGUAGGCCGGAGAUUAAGCGUGUUGUGAAAUGUAGACGCUCAACGUCUGCACUGCAGCGCGAACUGGUUUCCUUGAGUACGCACAAAGUGGGCGGAAUUCGUGGUGUAGCGGUGAAAUGCUUAGAUAUCACGAAGAACUCCGAUUGCGAAGGUAGCUCACUGGAGCGCAACUGACGCUGAAGCUCGAAAGUGCGGGUAUCGAACAGGAUUAGAUACCCUGGUAGUCCGCAC